rnacentral:snoRNA from 1 species
ACGACCUUACUUGAACAGGAUCUGUUCUAUAGGCUCGUACCUCUGUUUCCUUGAUUUCUCAAGAGACAGGCCCUUAACCCUGGUUGAUGAAUCAUGACCGUGCGAUCAGAGCGUGAUUAACGGCUACGAUUGUCUUCGGAUGUUUCUGGUGCUGUAGAGGAUCGUUACUCGGCUCGGUUCUACCUUGCCGGGGUGGUCGCACGGCGGUCUGACAGGUC